AGAAAAUCCAAAUUAAUCCGUUCUUGAUUUUUUCCUCCAUUCCCGUUUUUCAGUUAUGCGGUUAAGAAGCUAAGCUGGCCAGCACUACUUUAAGGUGAAGAGGAGAGGAAUUUAGAUCAAGCAGCGCAGUUUUUGUCAGUUGGAGUUGAUCACAGAGAAAACCCUUUUCCUCGACUGCGAGCUUCCACUGUUCCUCCUUCGAUUCCUCAGGUUGAAGAUUAGUCUGCUGCGAAGGAGACUUGGAACCAGUGGAAUUGAUCCCUCAUUUUGAUAUUGAGGAGAAGGGAAGAUGAUUUCUGCAGAAGAGAGUGAUGAUGCGGCUCAAGUUCCGUCAACGCCAAAAAAGAUAUACAAGGAUCCUGAUGAUGGCCGCCAAAGGUUUUUGCUUGAAUUGGAGUUCGUUCAGUGUCUAGCUAAUCCAACCUACAUUCAUUGUAAGUUUU